rnacentral:rRNA from 1 species
AUGGUCUUCGAGGAUGAGAGCAGCGACGACUUGUCCGGCCUGCAGAUCUCCUCCGACGACGACGGGAUGCAUUAUCAGAUUCCUGCUAGGAUUGAAGACCAAGACUACAAUGGCUUGGAGAAGGCACCAGAGGGGCUCUGCGUGGAGCAUCGGCUGCCAACUGAGCGCCGUAUAGCUUUUGAAUCAUUUGAGACGGGCAGGAGGUUUCUAGUUUGUGCUCAGCCUGAAGCUGUCAAUUGUGGUUUCCUUGCUUGGGUUGACCCAGAGUGGCCUCCCACAAUGCAAAAUGCAUUGUUGAAGCUUUGGGAAAUGUUUGAAGACAGCAGGACUGCUAGGAGGAAGGAUAACCUGGAAAGUUCACUUACUAUCCACCACCUUAAAGAAGAGAAAAGGAAUCUGGAUGCCAACUAUGACAAACUAGUUGAAGAUGUCCAUCAACUUCUCAAUGCCCAGGAGGACAGGGUGUUGGAUUUAAGCUAUGUGCAGGCUAAGGAGAAGAGAGCUGAGGUUGCCACUGCAUCAGUUGUGGCUGCCAUGAAGAAUGAGAUGGAGAAGAAAGAGGCAGAGAACUUCAAGAUGCAAGAGAAGUACAAAGUGUUGAUGAACCUGGUAGAAGCUCAAGGCAGUGUCAUUAGGAACUUGAAGAUGAAUCAUUUGAAAGAGAAGGAAAAGCUAGCCGAAGGCAACAACAAUUUAAAGAUUCAGGUUGAUGAGCUCACCCAGGUUAGGCAACGGCGGAGGCGAUUCCUGAGCGGGCUGGCGGCGGAGGCGAUCUCGCAGGCGGCGGCGGCGGCUGCGUCCAAGUCAAUGUCAAUCUCGUGGUCUUCAGGUCGUUCUCAGGCUCCCAGCUUCCGUCGAGCCUCUGGAAGGAGAGGGGACGAAUCGAGGUCGUCGGUGCCCUACCGUGAGAGCCCGAUGGCGUAUGAGCCGGAGAAGCUCUGCUGGUGCAGGCCGCGUAGGAAGGCGCCGAGAUGGAUCUCAUGGAGCCGUCAGAACCCAUGCAGGAGGUACUACGCCUACGUGGAUGCCAUGCAUGGUGGUUGUGGCUUCCUUGAAUGGCAUGAUGAUCCUCUGCCGAAGUUUUUGAGUGAUUUGAUUGGAGAUUUGCGAGAUGAAGUGUGUAGGCUGAGAGGUGAAUCAAGUGUUGGUGUGUUUGAAGAUGACAGUGCAGUUGUAGCUCUGCCUAAAGCUCAAAGAGGAAGAGAGGUGGUGGCUUUGGAAGAUCAGCUCAAGGAGAAAAAUGCAGAGAUAGAUGCACUGAAGGAGAAAUAUCAUAAUGUUGUCUUUCUUUUUCUUGUCUUUGUGACUCAAGCUUGUUUUGGCACUGAAGAUGCAAGUUGUGGUCAGGUUGAUCCUUGAGCACCAGAAGUAGAAGGACCAGAAGAUGAAGCUCCUGCAGCAAAUCUUGGGGCAGUGAAAGGCCUUGCAAAUCUUGCACUUGCACUAGCUGGCCCUCUAGCAGAUCUUGAAGUAGAUCUUGCAGUAGCAGAUCUAGCAGUAGCAGAUCUUGCACUAGCAGAUCUUGCAGAAGCAGACCUUGUUGGUGGCUGCUGUGAUCCUGAUGGAGUAUCUUCAUUCCUUGAUCUUGCAGUUGGUAUACCUAUGGCCUUGGAGCCCACAGUUGCUGCAUGUUAUAGUGGCCAUUCUUGA